GGGGAAUAUUGCACAAUGGGGGAAACCCUGAUGCAGCGACGCCGCGUGGAGGAAGAAGGUCUUCGGAUUGUAAACUCCUGUUGUUGAGGAAGAUAAUGACGGUACUCAACAAGGAAGUGACGGCUAACUACGUGCCAGCAGCCGCGGUAAAACGUAGGUCACAAGCGUUGUCCGGAAUUACUGGGUGUAAAGGGAGCGCAGGCGGGAAGACAAGUUGGAAGUGAAAUCCAUGGGCUCAACCCAUGAACUGCUUUCAAAACUGUUUUUCUUGAGUAGUGCAGAGGUAGGCGGAAUUCCCGGUGUAGCGGUGGAAUGCGUAGAUAUCGGGAGGAACACCAGUGGCGAAGGCGGCCUACUGGGCACCAACUGACGCUGAGGCUCGAAAGUGUGGGUAGCAAACAGGAUUAGAUACCCUGGUAGUCCACACCGUAAACGAUGAUUACUAGGUGUUGGAGGAUUGACCCCUUCAGUGCCGCAGUUAACACAAUAAGUAAUCCACCUGGGGAGUACGACCGCAAGGUUGAAACUCAAAGGAAUUGACGGGGGCCCGCACAAGCAGUGGAGUAUGUGGUUUAAUUCGACGCAACGCGAAGAACCUUACCAAGUCUUGACAUCCCUUGACAGACAUAGAAAUAUGUUUUCUCUUCGGAGCAAGGAGACAGGUGGUGCAUGGUUGUCGUCAGCUCGUGUCGUGAGAUGUUGGGUUAAGUCCCGCAACGAGCGCAACCCUUAUGGUCAGUUACUACGCAAGAGGACUCUGGCCAGACUGCCGUUGACAAAACGGAGGAAGGUGGGGAUGACGUCAAAUCAUCAUGCCCUUUAUGACUUGGGCUACACACGUACUACAAUGGCGUUAAACAAAGAGAAGCAAGACCGCGAGGUGGAGCAAAACUCAGGAACAACGUCCCAGUUCGGACUGCAGGCUGCAACUCGCCUGCACGAAGUCGGAAUUGCUAGUAAUCGUGGAUCAGCAUGCCACGGUGAAUACGUUCCCG
rnacentral:rRNA from 1 species